UCAAAUCAGGUAGGACUACCCGCU
rnacentral:rRNA from 1 species